rnacentral:rRNA from 1 species
GACGAACGCUGGCGGCGUGCCUAAUACAUGCAAGUCGAGCGGAUGGAAGGAAGCUUGCUUCCUAAAGUCAGCGGCGGACGGGUGAGUCACACGUGGGCAACCUGCACCUAAGAUCGGGAUAACAUCGGGAAACCGGAGCUAAUACCGGAUAUGAUUAUGUCUCACAUGAGACAUAAUGGACAGACGGUUCCGGCUGUCACUUCGGGAUGGGCCGGCGGCGCAUUAGCUAGUUGGUGAGGUAACGGCUAACCAAGGCGACGAUGCGUAGGCGCCCUGAGAGGGUGAUCGGCCACACUGGGACUGAGACACGGCCCAGACUCCUACGGGAGGCAGCAGUAGGGAAUCUUCCGCAAUGGACGAAAGUCUGACGGAGCAACGCCGCGUGAGUGAAGAAGGUUUUCGGAUCGUAAAACUCUGUUGUUAGGGAAGAACAAGUACCAUAGUAACUGAUGGUACCUUGACGGUACCUAACCAGAAAGCCACGGCUAACUACGUGCCAGCAGCCGCCGUAAUAC